GAGUUUGAUCCUGGCUCAGGAUGAACGCUGGCGGCGUGCUUAACACAUGCAAGUCGAACGAAGCACUUUAACCUGAUUCUUCGGAUGAAAGUUUGGUGACUGAGUGGCGGACGGGUGAGUAACGCGUGGGUAACCUGCCCUGUACAGGGGGAUAACAGCUGGAAACGGCUGCUAAUACCGCAUAAGCGCACGAGGAGACAUCUCCUUGUGUGAAAAACUCCGGUGGUACAGGAUGGGCCCGCGUCUGAUUAGCUGGUUGGCAGGGUAACGGCCCACCAAGGCGACGAUUGGUAGCCGGACUGAGAGGUUGAACGGCCACAUUGGGACUGAGACACGGCCCAGACUCCUACGGGAGGCAGCAGUGGGGAAUAUUGCACAAUGGGGGAAACCCUGAUGCAGCGACGCCGCGUGAAGGAAGAAGUAUCUCGGUAUGUAAACUUCUAUCAGCAGGGAAGAUAAUGACGGUACCUGACUAAGAAGCCCCGGCUAACUACGUGCCAGCCGCCGCGGUAAUUC
rnacentral:rRNA from 1 species